rnacentral:tRNA from 1 species
GAGGGUAUAGGUCAGUGGUAAAGUAUGUGACUAGCAGCACAAGGUCCUGGGUUCAAUUCCCAGUACCUCUG